CAGUAGCCGCGGUAAUACGGAGGGGGCUAGCGUUGUUCGGAAUUACUGGGCGUAAAGCGCACGUAGGCGGCUUGGUAAGUUAGAGGUGAAAGCCCGGAGCUCAACUCCGGAAUUGCCUUUAAGACUGCCGAGCUAGUAGGUGAGAGAGGUAAGUGGAACUCCGAGUGUAGAGGUGAAAUUCGUAGAUAUUCGGAAGAACACCAGUGGCGAAGGCGGCUUACUGGCUCAUUCUAGACGCUGAGGUGCGAAAGCGUGGGGAGCAAACAGGAUUAGAUACCCGCGUAGUCCCUGUCUCUUAUAC
rnacentral:rRNA from 1 species